GCUUAGCUCAGCUGGUAGAGCAAUGGACUGUUAAUCCAUGUGUCGCAGGUUCAAAACCUGCAGC
rnacentral:tRNA from 2 species